rnacentral:rRNA from 1 species
CCUACGGGGGGCUGCAGUGGGGAAUAUUGGACAAUGGGGGGAACCCUGAUCCAGCCAUGCCGCGUGUGUGAAGAAGGCCCUCGGGUUGUAAAGCACUUUCAGUGAGGAAGAACGCCUGGUGGUUAAUACCCAUCAGGAAAGACAUCACUCACAGAAGAAGCACCGGCUAACUCCGUGCCAGCAGCCGCGGUAAUACGGAGGGUGCGAGCGUUAAUCGGAAUUACUGGGCGUAAAGCGCGCGUAGGUGGCUUGAUAAGCCGGUUGUGAAAGCCCCGGGCUCAACCUGGGAACGGCAUCCGGAACUGUCAAGCUAGAGUGCAGGAGAGGAAGGUAGAAUUCCCGGUGUAGCGGUGAAAUGCGUAGAGAUCGGGAGGAAUACCAGUGGCGAAGGCGGCCAUCUGGACUGACACUGACACUGAGGUGCGAAAGCGUGGGUAGCAAACAGGAUUAGAUACCCCAGUAGUC